AUUUGGGAUCGUGAGGAGAUGGCGACGGGGUCGGGACUUUUCACGUUCCUGCGGCCGCGCCUCCGCCCCCAGUCGACGGACAUCGCCGCUGCCGCCACCUGGGGCGUCGCCGCCGCCACCGGUGCCCUCUGGCUCAUCCAGCCUUUUGAUUGGUUGAAGAAGCAGUUUUUGGAAAAGCCUGAGCCAGAGAAGUGAAUUUUGUCUUGCUGUGUGGAACAGAAGCUUGCGAUUAACUUGCGGCUCUAAUAUGGAGCAAAUCAAAGUUUUAUCUAAAAUAAAGAUGCAUCUCUUUCAUUUCUUCCAUGAUUGUUAGGAUGUAGAACCUGUGUUGCAAUUGGAUCCUAUAAUGGGAAACUGUGGGCAGUGCUGUCUAUUUUGACAGAUGACUCGUUUAUGAGUUCUCUGCGCCUGGGUCACAGGUGGUAGUCUGGUGUUUGGUCCAAAUAACAUCCGAUUGACAUGUGAACAUGAACAAUUUUAUCUUUUGUUUGAAAAUUGAUUAUCAUUUUGCAUU